UGUUUUGCUGUUAUCGGGUGGAUCACGAUGCAAUUUUGGUUAGUAUGAUAGGAGAAAAAUUGCACGGUAUCCAUCUGUAAACCGCAGG
rnacentral:pre_miRNA from 17 species